GGUCUGAGUGAGGGCGGCGGCGGCGGCCAUGGAGGCCCGGGCGGAGGGAGAGGCCGCUGCUGGGGGCCCCCCCAGCCUCUUCGAGCUGAGUGGGGUGGUGGUGAGCUCCGCCAUGGGGACCCUGGAGAGAGAGGUUUGGGCACUUCCUGGACAGAUACUCCAGGGAAUUCUGCCUUUGCUUAAUAUCUAUUACCUGGAAAGGAUUGAGGAAAUUGCUGUGAAAAAAGGACUCUCAACCCAGCCCAUAUGGCACAAACUCUGGAACGAUGUGAUGAAAAUCAGACCACCCAAGUCAGAGAACAUAACAAGUUGGAGGAAGAAGUUCCUUGAAACUUUCUUCUCAAAUGUCCUACAUGGAGUUUUGGAUGUUUCUUCAGAUCAGCGCCUGAGUGACCGUCAUUUUUCCCCCCUACUCCACAGCUCACGGCAUGUUACGCAGCUCACCAUCUGUAACAUGCUGCAGGGGGUAGCAGAGCUCACUGCUGAGCCCAAUCAAAGAGUGCUAGAAAACCUGGCUGGCUCACUGAGAACCUUGAAGUUCCGUCAUCUGCUGACCUCCGAUCUGUCCAUUAGACAUUCACUAAGUUUGCUGCUUCAUCAUCUGAUCCACCAUGGAGCUGUCAGCCAGGUGUCCAUGUGUUCCUGGCCAGUUCCCGAUAAAGUGCUUUUAGUCCUCAUUCUGAGUAUGAGUGCUGGGUUUUGGCACCCAGGUAAGACACUUGUGCAGCAGGGCAGCCCUUGCAGUCUUUGCAGAGAGGAGUCAGAUGCCCAAGGCCUGCUAACUCAAGAGGAUGAUGCCCUGCUAGAGUCAAAUCAGCUGUGCUGUGGAUCUACUGAACAACCCGAGACUGUCCAGUGGGGUGAUAGUGAGUCAAGAAGCAAGAAGGCCCAAACUGCUUCAGCCAAAGUUCUUCAAGAAGCUGAUCCUGACUCUCAAACUGUUAAAACUCCAAUGCUCUGUGGAUUGAGGAGCCAUCCUUUGCAAAACCUAGCAUGUCAAGAUAUAAACUGCAAGGUGCCCCCUGAGUAUUACAACAUUAAAGUAGAGUCUUCUCCUUCCCUUCCAAAAAGAUCUUCAGUUAGUCCUGCUUUCCGAAAGCCCUAUAGACAGUUUAAGACUGCAGUGGGGAGGAAGCGCCGCUGCACCAGGAGAAACCGCAGAACUCGUGCAGACUCAGAAGAUCUUUAUGAUUUUGUCUUCGCUGUUGCUAGGGAGGAGGAGGAGACGGCAGAGUCGGUCUAUGAAAGCAAUGCCCAGGAGGGGGAAAGCAUUGAUGGCUGGGCCCCUUCCCCAGCAGACGCUCCUAGCUUUGAGGGUGUUGGCUGCACGGAAGGAGGAUCUAUCGGAAUCCUUCCUCUGAAAGUGGCAUGCCGCUUCCGAAGUGUAUCCACGUUGGAAUUGUUCUCCAUCCCUCUGACUGGGGACACCUGUCGGGCUUUGGGGAACCUGCUGAGCUCUUGGGCAUCUUUAGAAAAGCUGGUUCUGUCUUACAAUGGCCUGGGCGCUAAUAUCUUCUGCAUCCUGUCUGGGCUCCGGGCCCUCUCUCACCGCAGAGACUGCAGCCUCCAUGUGGUGCGUGUGAGUGACGUGUUCUCAUACAUCCCCUCGGUGGAGCUUGUUCGGUCCAUCCUGACUGCUUUCCCCCGCCUUCACACGCUCUCAGUCAGCUUUGAUCUCAAAAACCAGCUGGAGGGGAACAGGCCAGAAGGGCGUUCGAGCUCGGAGGCAGAAAUUCCAGAGAGCUGCCUGGAACAGUUAGAGAUCCGAUUCCCCAGAGAACCUCUGCAGACCAGUCUCCUUUUGCCAGUGUUGAAAGCCUCAAGGUCUCUCCAGCAGUUGUCCCUGGACAGUGCUACAAUUUCCUGUCCCCUGGAGUUUGGGCUCCUUCUGCAGGCACUCAAAGAGUGUAAUCCAGGCCUGAAGAGACUGAGUUUCCAUGAUGUGAACCUUGCCGACUACCAGAAGGAAGUUCUCCUGCUGCUGCAGGACCCUGUCCUUCAAGAAAUUACGUUUUCCUUUUGUCGGCUGUUUGAAAGCUGCACCACUGAGUUUCUAUCCAACAUAAUCAAAAUAGUGAAGAGAAAUUCAACUUUGAAGAGCCUCAAAUUGCCUGGAAACAGACUUGGGAAUCACAGGUUGGUUGCCUUGGCUGACAUUUUCUCUGAAGAUUCAUCCUCUUCCAUCUGCCAGUUGGACGUCAGGUAUGCUGCGGCCUCAACCAUAGUACUCUCCCGUCACGUCCCUUUUUAAACAAACUUCAGUGCUCCAGCCAGCAGGGUAAACCUGAGCCUCGUUCUGUUCACUAGCUGAGCUGAUACUACAUCAACUAAGACUAUGUUUUAGGGAACACCUUGCUGCCACUACCCAGGAUUUGAGCACUCUCAAAGCUCAAAUUGCAUCAAGCCGGCUGGGCUCCUGGAGUUUGCAAAGAAGCUGGAGAGCCACAUCCUGCAGAGAGGCGGGCAGGUCACAUUUACCCACCUCCGCCUCUUUCAGAACUGGUUGGACCAAGAUGCUGCA